rnacentral:tRNA from 1 species
GUUAAGUAGCUUAAUCCAAACCCAAGCACUGAAAAUCCUUAGAUUGGAUUUUUAUCCCCUUC